GGGAAGGUAGCUCAGUGGUAGAGUGCAUGCCUUCCAAGCAUGAGGCCCUGGGUUCGAUUCCUCAGCACCA
rnacentral:tRNA from 1 species